AGCGAACGCUGGCGGCAGGCUUAACACAUGCAAGUCGAGCGGGCCCUUCGGGGUCAGCGGCAGACGGGUGGGUAACACGUGGGAACGUACCCUUUGGUUCGGAAUAACGCUGGGAAACUAGCGCUAAUACCGGAUACGCCCUUUUGGGGAAAGGCUUGCUGCCGAAGGAUCGGCCCGCGUCUGAUUAGCUAGUUGGUGGGGUAAUGGCCUACCAAGGCGACGAUCAGUAGCUGGUCUGAGAGGAUGAUCAGCCACACUGGGACUGAGACACGGCCCAGACUCCUACGGGAGGCAGCAGUGGGGAAUAUUGGACAAUGGGCGCAAGCCUGAUCCAGCCAUGCCGCGUGAGUGAUGAAGGCCUUAGGGUUGUAAAGCUCUUUUGUCCGGGACGAUAAUGACGGUACCGGAAGAAUAAGCCCCGGCUAACUUCGUG
rnacentral:rRNA from 1 species